AUUGAACGCUGGCGGCAGGCCUAACACAUGCAAGUCGAGCGGAGCGGCGGACGGGUGAGUAAUGCCUAGGAAUCUGCCUGGGCGUGGGGGAUAAGGUCCGGAAACGGGCGCGAAUACCGCAUACUAGCCGGUGAGCCUAGGCCGGAUUAGCUAGUUGGUGGGGUAAAGGCCUACGAAGGCGACGGUCCGUAACUGGUCUGAGUGGAUGAUCAGUCACACUGGAACUGAUACACGGUCCAGACUCCUACGGGAGGCAGCAGUGGGGAAUAUUGGACAAGGGGCGAAAGCCUGAUCCAGCCAUGCCGCGUGUGUGAAGAAGGUCUUCGGAUUGUAAAGUACUUUAAGUUGGGAGGCGUUACCAACAGAAGAAGCACCGGCUAACUUCGUGCCAGCAGCGGCGGUAAUAC
rnacentral:rRNA from 1 species